GGUCGUGUGGCGCAAUGGUAGCGCGUUACUUUCCGGUUCAGUAACUCCGCUGGUAAAGGUUCUGGGUUCGAGUCCCAGCAUGAUCG
rnacentral:tRNA from 1 species